CACACACUGAACACACAAAUUUUUUUUUGAACCAUCAUGAAUUAUCUCACGCGUUGGCAGGGGAAAUGGUGUCUCUGGUUCGGAAACAUUAUACAACCUAUGAUAAUGCACAUGGGUUCCGUUGAAUUAAUGAGGGGAUGCCAUAUUGCCUGAGUUUGGUUGAGGCUUUUCCAAAAUGGGUCGAAAAUUUACGGCAGUGGAACACAUUUCGUGAACAGGUUAAUUGAUAAAAUAGAAUGCAUGUUUCACAUUUUAUCUGAGACACUAUUGCUCCUGCCAUCCACAAUCUGCAGGAUUGGUAGCAAGUAUGAAAUUAUAUGGUUAAAAU